AUAUAUCCAGGAGAAAUAAAAACCCUUGUUCACAAAAGCCUGUAUGUAAAUGGUUAUACCUGCUUUAGUCAUUAUUGUCAAAAACUGUAAACAAUUCAAAUGGCUUCAAAUGAGUGAGUGGACAAACCAGCUUUGGUGCAUCUAUACAAUGGCAUGCUCCUUACCAAUAAAAACUUAUGAACUGUUGAUACAUGUAACAACAUGGAUAAAUCUCAACGGCAUUAUGUAAGCAGAAGAAACCAGGCUCAAAAAUCAUAUACAGCAUGUGAUUCCAUUUAUAUGACAUUAUUGAAAGACUAAAAGUAUACAGAUAGAAACCACAACAGAUUAGUGGUUGCCAGGCCUGAAUCACCACAAAGUGGCAUCAGGAAACUUUUCAGUGAGCUGGAAACGCUCUCUAUCUUGUCAGUGAUAGUGAUUAUAAGGCUGUAUACACUUGUCAAAAUGCAUAGAGUUUUACACUAGAAAGGAUGAAUUCUACUCUCUGUAAAUUAUACCUUCAUACAAAUGGCCAACAGGUACAUGAAAAGAUGCUCAAACUCACUAAUCAUCAGGGAAACGCAAAUCAAACCCACAAUAAGAUCUCACCUCACACCUGGUAGGACGGCUAUUCUACAAAAGGACAAAUGUCAUUUUUUAAAAACAAUAUUUACCUUCAUUACACUUUCCUUUUAUCGAAUGCUAAAUAUUUUAAUAAUUAAAACCACUUAAGAACACACAAUUUUAUAUAUUAUCCAGGAAACAAAACCUACUACAUACUAAUUACAUACAUAAAUAUGCAGUAUCAAGAAAAGAUUUAUCAUUUUGAAAUUUUAUUCAGAUCAAUGAUUCUUUAUUCUACUCUGAGCCACUGCCGUUCCAAAGAAAAAGAUGCCCUAGAUUGUAUGCCCCAUCUUGUUUCCUAUUAUUCUUUCAUUUUAGUUAUCAGUUGUCAAAACAAUAGACUAAACCUAACACCUAAGAGUAUGCCAAAUCUUGUUAAAAAAUUCUCCAUAAUCUCAUCAAGACUUUAUACCCUCAGCUUGGCCUGGACACUCACAGUUUCAGCAAACAGGGAGUCAGUGCAAUAGUGCAUAAAAUAUUAGGGCUCUGAAAGCCUGUGCCUGCUUAGGGGAGUGUGUAAUUUAAUAAAGUGUUCAUCGAUGUCAGCAGGCUGGCUCAUCACAACUUGUGUUGAUGUCGAAGCCUGCAGCACAGAAACUCCUACUGCUGAUGAGAUGACUAAAGUAAGAUUACAUUUUCCCUUGGAGACAGACACAAAGGUGGGAGAGUUAUUCUCAAAGGCAUUGAGACUUACAAGUAUCUGAUGGAACAGAACCAAAAUAGGGAAGGGCAGACUUUAAGGCCAGCCAACUAAGGAAACAAACUCAACAGAGCUGCAUUAUUUAUAAGAACGAACGCUAUGAAAAAUACCACCAGGCUUCUAUGGUUCCCACUUUAUUCACACACAAAUUCCUAACAUAAAUUAUAAAUAAGGAAUAAUAUUUUUAUGACUUAUAUGCUAAGCUUUCUAACAAUCCUUUGUAAAUCCCAGAGAAACUCAAGAACUAUGAGUUAGAAUUCAUAUAUUGUAUUUUAUUCUUCACUGUUUAGGGAUGUCCUUAGUCAUACCUUUUAAAAUUAUAUCUGAAAAAGUCAAGUUAAUGAUUUCUCAAAAGAAGUUGAAUUAUGUAUCAUUCACAGAGCUACGAAAGAUUUUUCAUCUGAGGUCAUCCAAGUGAAAGUUUUGUUCAUAUUGAAGCAAAAGCAAAUAUUCUGUGAUGAUUUUCAUGAAAGUGUUUUAUUAAUACUUUAAAUAUCUUAUCUCUUAGUCUGACCUAAAUAUUAAAGAUAAUCUGGUGAUAAAAAUUAUUAACUCAGUAUUGUUGUAAAGGUAAUUUUAUCUUUUAAAGCAAGUCCUCUAUUUUUUUUUAUUUGAUAACAUCAACCCAGACAUUUUAGUUUCCUGACAAUAUUUUGAAUGUUCAGUGUGCUAUUGAAAGAUCCUUGAGAAGAAAUGUUAGUAUGAGGAGAAAGGACACUAAAUAUUGUAGGUGAGACAAUAUUUUGUAUUUUUUAAUAACAACGUAGACACAGUCUUACAAAACAAAAUAGAUUGCAAACAGAAUUAUCUCAUUUUAAACCAGUGGUAAUGAGAAAAGAUAUGGAGCAGUAAUGGGUUGUGUUAGCAAAGGGAGCCAUCUCUCUUGACUUUGCUUACUCUGUCAACACAAUAUGUGUUGCUCUUUAAUGGCUUGAUUUAUUAUGUUCUGAAUAUUUUAGCAAAAGAUUUCAAAAUAUAACAUCAUAGUGCAAACUGCAUUGUCACAAUAUUUCAGUGAAAAGAAACCAUCAAAAUUUUUAUCAUUCCAUCACUUAAUUAGUUGAUUCAAUGAACAACUAUUUAAGACUCAGUAUAAACCAGAUACUGUGAUACACAAUCAGGAUUUAAAGGUAUAACAACACUCCUUUUAAAAAGAUUAAAAUUCAACAGGGAGAAAUAGAGAUAUGAACAAUAUAAACUGAGUGAGAAGCAUUUUAAAGUUAUUAAAAUUUCUGCAUUUAAAAAAUUUCCCAUGACACACAUUGCUCCUUGCUAUACCUCAACUGAUUUAACACUAUUUUUUGGGCUGGAGGCUUUGGGUGUUAGGCUCCAAGGGAAUGGACAGAAUAAAGUUGUGGAUUAUUUAGCACUGUACUUCAAAUUGUAUUUUCUUCAAUAUUAUUUGUAGGAUUAAUGCCUUGAAAGUCAGUAAAUUUCGAAUCUAUAUAGCUUUCCUAAGAAUCUCAGUAUGGAGAGAAUUAAGGAUAGAAUGUAGAAUUCCCACCCCACUGGAAAGCCAGGAACAACUAUGAAUUCUGAAGAAGAGCUCUCAGGAAAAGAAAUCGAAUGGCAAGUGACCUAAGGGUCAGUCUCCUGGCUCCUGGCACUUUCUUCCUCUUCUAAGCCUCUAGUCAACAUCUCUGAGGCUUGGCUGAGGGAUGGAGAGGGAAAGCCAGAAGUACAGACCAGGUGGUAGAUAGAAAUGGCUGAUGAAUGCAUCUAGGAGGCCUUCUCAUUGUUGGAGCCACCAUCUGAAGAAGCGAGAAUUUACUUGUUUUCCAGACAAGCCACAAGCACAGAGCAGUGCUCAGCACAUUGUAGAACAAAUCGAAUGAAACAAAGAAUGAACGAAUAAUUUAGUCCUUUCUAAGACUGGGGAGCCUCUCUGAAACCUUCUGUAUCUAUCAUGGAUGGAGCUUCUUUUGGUGAAGAUAAUGCUGCAAAUAAUAUAAACAGACAUCUCUAACUUUCACUUGGUUUCCAGGAGGAAGAUAUAGGACUGGGAAAUAGAGCUCCUGGUCCAACGCAGCCUCACAUUGUUGAUUCACCACCAAUACCAAGCCAGCGGUUCCUGAAGAUGCAGGCAAGGCAGUCAGGCACGCUCCCAAUGGGGGCACUAGUCUUAUUUAACAGUCUCAAACAGCUGGAGAGCACACAGCUAACGACCACUUGAGCAUGAAAGUGUCUGAUGACUGCAUAUAAAAUAUGACACACGACGAGGAAAAUAGGUAAUAAAAAUAUACAACGGAACAAACGUGCAGUGACAGUCCAAAACGUGUAAAUUGCAUAACAAAUUUUAAAAGAGAAAUGUCAAUGUAAUGUGCAUUCUUAUAGCAGAGUAUUUCUUUCAAAUCCGAAAUCAUUUAAACAAUCAGAGAAAUUCUCUCUUUUCAAUCAACUCAAAGCUACGUGAAUGGAAAAUGAUGCAAAGUUAACAACAGAGAAGAAAACCCCAAACAGAGAGAUUUGCAGGUCUGGCAGGAGUUUUUCAACAGCGUUUAAGCAUUAUGUGAAGAAAAAUAUUUAUGAAAUAAAACAACCCUCUGGUCUGAGGAUCUCUUACCUUGAAGAAAAGGAAAGCUAUCAGAAACAAUGCAAGCAGAAGGCAAUGCUGAAUUCCAAAUGCAAUUGCAGGGUGAGCUGUACUUUUAAAUAACCGCAUACAUGUUUUUAGAGAUUUGUCUCAUGGCAUGUCUUUUUUUUUUUCUUCACGUAACUGUCAACUAUAUCAGCGAUGAAAAUGAAAAAUGUAUCACUCAAAACUAUUUUUUGCGUUUUCUGAAAUGUACCUUAUCUAGUGAGAAAUGAAAAUUCUCUCUCUCUUUUUUUCCCCAAGAAAUACAUUUCUGUAACAUUUCUUCACUAUCAAAGGAUAACAGCAGGUUGAAGGAAAAAACAGGACAUAGCCAGAUAUCCGCAAGGCAACCCUUUUUUGGACAACUCACUAGGUCCUUCAAGGUAUAGAAGAGGCCAAAACCUGGCCAUUGAGAAGCAGCAUCCUGUUGUGAUUUUUAGACCAAUAACACGGCCUUUUUUGCAUUGUUUCUUCCAUAGCACUUCUUUCCGUCAGUCAUAUUAAAUAUUUCUGCUAUUUAGAUUUUUAUAUUCUGAUCCCUACUCUUGAAUGUAAACUCUAUGAGGUCAUAGAUUUUAGUCUCUCUUACAUAAAUUUAUUUUUCCACUGCCUCAAUCAAUAUUUAAAUGAAUUAAAAAUUACCAAAUAUCACUGAAAACUGUUUAAGCCAAUUGUGGGUAAAGAACAUGAAGAAAGAGGAAAGAAACCAUAAUUCUCUCUGAGACAUUUAAAGAAAGCUAUAACAAGGUGACACAAGACUGGGGUAUGGUGGUCACGGAGGUAUGAGAGGGUUCCUAUGUCGUUAUAUGCAAUUGUGUGGCUAUUUCCAAAUUAAUCACCACACAAAGGUGAAGUUUAAGUCAUUUCAUUUUACUCCUUGUGUCAUUAACCAGAUCGAAAAGGUUUUUUUUUGUUUUCUUUUUUAAAAAUAGUAAUUUUGUAAUUUCAUUUCUGAUUCUAGAUUCAGAAAAGAACUUAGAAGUCAACUCUUUAAAUGCCCAAUAUUUGAUGAAAGCAAAAUAAACUCAAGAUUUUAAGGUAUUAAGGUAUUAUGGCAUGUGUUAAAGAUCCCUUGAUCGGUGAAAAGGGCAGGACUGGAACCCAUAUUCUGAAAUGCUCAUGCUUUCUAUUAUGAACUUCUAUGAACCACGUGCCUAAAUGUUCUCACACAAUGCUGACUGCAUCACUUCAAAGAAAUAUAAUAAAGCUAAAAAAUGCUCCCAGAAAGACAACUAAACUAUCAUUAAAAGAGUGGAGCAGCUUUGGAAAGGAAGACCUUAAAAAUUAUAAUCUUCAAUCUGGAAACUCUAACAUCUAUUAAAUCCUGAAGACAGUGGAUAGUGUGAAAGCCAAGCUAUCCACGAACUUCCAUUAUACCAGGUCUAAGGGCACCCUCUGGAGUUUAAGAGAUAAAUUUAGGACAAAUAACGGGAAGUGCAAUACUACUUUAUUUAUUAGGUAGAGUGCUCAGGGAAGUAACACAGGCUGAAAAUAUGAUAGCUUCAUAAAAGGUUUAGAUAUAAAAACAUACAAUAAAUCAAUUCUAGACUAUUAAAGGGAAGUGGCCCAAUAUACCAUUUAUACUGAUUUUAUCUUUGUCAAACUACAGGGCUCCCCUUUCUCUCCAGUUAUAUUUGAAGUGAUCAAGCUUGAAGAUUUUCACACUGAACUUAAAGAACCAAGUGUCUUAGUAAGAUGGGCUAAAUAGUAAACGAGUUGAGGUGGUACAGUACUCUGCUCACAAUAUGUACUCGGUAACUAACUGUCAUAUGAAUUAAUUUCUUGCAGCCAAGGUAAAAUUUCCAAGUGACCAUUAUGAAAAUGUGAUUAGACACAUAUAUUGAACUCUCUCUGAGGGUGCAUUCUCUCCAAGAGUUUGGAUUAAAUCUCUACAUUUAGCUACAAGGUCUUUCUGAUAUAUAUACUCACAAAUUCAUAAAUAUGAAAAGGUAUCAAAGAUUAUUUCUCUACCAGAUAUGCAUUCUAGAUUUUGGUAUGAGGAAGGCUUCAUUUCAAAGCAUCUUGGUGUGUUGGUGCUAGGGAUCUAUAAAGUUGUCUCACAGCAUGAGGUCCAUCACAUUUUAAAAUGUUAGCCUUAGCUGCAGAAUAAAAUACCAUCAUUACUUAUUAGUCACUGAGUGAUUAGGAUUUGCAACAUUUUUACUAAAUAUUGAGAGAGAUCAUUUCAGAUUUAUUGUGGGCUUUUAUGUUGAAUCGUGUUCUUUUAUCAUGAUCCUUGCUGUUACAUUGAUAUGAACGACUUGUAGAAUAAUGUUAGUGGAACAUGUAUAAACUAAGCAUAAGAGUUUAUAUAAAUUAUCUGUAAAGUGAUAAACAUUUGUGCUUAUAAUAUGGCACAAAAAGUAACAAUUGCAAGGAAAAAUCACAAAACUAAUAGCAUUCAAGCUAACAUUAAUUUUAUGCAUCAGUUUCUUUUGGUUCAUAAAAACGAAGUGGUUGAUGAGCAUGAAUAUGGCACUGAGAAUUGAAACGAAAAUUCUUUAGAGCUUAAUGCAAUACAGCAAAGUCCACUCUAGAUUCACUUUUCUCUAUAUGGCAAAACUUUCAAAUAAUUCAUAUAGUAAUUCUUCAUAACCUCACUUGAAGCUUGCUUGGCAAAAACCCCUAAGAUAUAUAAUAGUUCCACCUCUUUUCUUUUUUCAGAAACCUAAAGGAAGCAUGAUCAUAAUGAAAAAGUGGGUCUUGAAAUAACAUGAGAGUCAUUGUUACAAGAUAAUCAUUCACCUUAAAUAAAUGGUUAUAUUAAAAUAUAUUCAUAUUACCAUAUGAAAGCUCACAGUUUUCAAAACUCAUGUAACCUGAAUCAGGUUUGAGAAAUACUGGUUUAUGUAACAACCUCAACAUGGUUCUCUAAUAGUGAAUUUUUAAAGAAAUAUAAAAUCCCCUUUAUUGUUAGAGCCACACAGGGAAGAAAUGCUAUUGAGUGUUUUCCUGGUAAAACUACUCAGUUUACUAAAACUCAGUGAGUAAUAUGUUUGUGUGUACAUGGGUACAUGCACUUAACAUUUUUUUUUUGCUUUAUAUAAAGAGACAAUGACUGAGUCUACCUAUGUUAUAAAGAUGAGUUCAAGAAUUUGGAACCUUUGAUUUUUCAUACGCUCGAGGCUUCAUGAUGAAUGACAAGCUUUUUUUAAUUAGUUUUUUUGAAAAAUUAAUCCAUAUUCACGAUAACACUUUCUAACAAAAUUAUGUAUAUACUGUAGACACAUAAAUCUCUUACCCCUGUACCCAGAGGCAACCAUUAUAACUAUCUUCCUAUUCAUAUUAAAAAAUAUUCUAUGUACAUUAAAAAAUAUCAUUAUAUGACUUAUUUCCCAAUGAAAACAAACAAACAAAAAACCUAGUAUAUAAUGCUAAGAGAAUGACAUGAAGUCCACUGGGGAAUUUAUGACUACUUUUAGAGUUAGUUUUUUUAGUGACACUUUUCCUUUCUACAAUGCAAGACUUCUCUUCAUCACUCAUAAAUUUUGACAACUCAAUUUUAUGCAUUAAUAAAAUAAAAUAGUGCUUAAAGUAUGGCAUGUUUGGUACACUUUUAAAUGCUAAACUCCACUUAUUUUUAGGUCAAUUUUCUCUUAUUGAAAAAGAAACAAUAAACAUGUUAUUAAUAAAUAAAAAUUUUAUAAAAAGGAAAAUAGGAGUAGAAAAAAUAGAUGACACAUUUUCGCCUCUCAGGAAUACACACAUGACUUAUAUAAAUAUGGGGUGGAGGUUAAGAAUAGAGGGGCAGGGACCAUGUUAUAGAGUUUGCAUUCUGGCUCUCUCGCUUAUUAGCUCUGUGAUUUGUGAAAGUUACCUGACCUCUCUGUGCCUCAAUUCUCUCAUCUGUAAAAUGGAGACAACAAUGUUUCUUGUCAUCUUUAAGAUGAUUAAAGGAAAUAAGAGAUGUAAAUCACACUGUUCAGUGUCUAGCACUUAGAAAGUUCUCAAUAAAUGAUAGUUAUUAUGAUGGGUAUUACCAAUAUUUAAUCAUUUACUUUAAAACUUUUUAAUAACAGAACUACUAUCUUCUACAAAUAAUCAGUAUUAGUGAAAGAACAACGAUAGGUUUAAUUAUUAUAUUGAGUAUGCACUGUACACCACACAACACUAGCACAUUCUAUGUAUAAUCUCAGUUAACUAUAAAAAAUAAGUCCAUUUGUGAAGUUGAUAUUGCCUGGGUCUUCCUUUUACUGUGGGGAAAACUUUGACUACUCUUAUAGCAUGGUGAUAAUGCAGGGAUGGGAGUUUUAAGACAUAUGUUCUACUUCGUAUUUUUCCAAUAACUAGCCAUCAGAUUAAGAACAAGUUGUUUUCUCAGGGAAAAAAAAGCAAAACAAAACAGAGUUUGAAAUAAAUAACCCCUGGUCACACAAAUGAGCCUAAAUUGAAGUGGAAUUUAAACAAAACUAUCUGACACAUCAAAGAUGUGAAUUCCUUAGUGUGACCAUCCGUCAUUUUAAUAGCUCUGGAACACCAGUUCCCGUCAGCAAACAUAGACUAGAGAAAACUACGCUUCCACCAGUGGGAGAAAGUGGUAGACGACAAUCAAACCAUGAGGAACUCUAUACGGAGCGGAGGAAAAUCACAGACACCAAAUGUUAACUGAGAGUAUACAGUGUUUGAGAGCACAUACGAGCAAAUUGGUAGGGAUGAAGAAUGGGCAGAAUCAGACACAUAUUAUUUAGUAGCAAAAUUCCAUUGGCACUCCCAGUUUGGCUUACCUUAAAGAAACAAGAGUUUUGGGUUGAUUUUGAAGCAUUUAGGUUUAUAUUAACACUACUAUUUGAUGCAUAUAAAAUGCCAAGAAUAGUGGUUGAUUGUUUUUUUUUUUUAACUUUAUUCGUCCCAAUGAGUUCAGGGUAAAAUAACACCUUUUCUCAUGAACUUUUAAAAUAGUAUCUCUUUUAUGAACUUUUAAAUCAUGCCUGAACUCUUUAACCUAGUAUUCAAGUUUCCUCAUAAAUGUCGUUUUCUCGGCAUAAACCCAGCUUGAUUCCUUAGUGACCAACAGAACCCGGACAGUUCAAUCCUGUCGUUACUCAUAGUGAUACAAAUUCUGGAAUCCCCACCCCUUCCAUAUAUUCUAGAGACCCUCCAAGCAAAGGAUUUCAUCUCCCUCAUUACCUCAGCUUUCUGAUUUAUACUGAUGAUUCCUAGCAUUUACUGGUUUAGAGUUAUUUUAGUGCUUAAUUAUAUACCACCAGGGUACCACUUGUGCUAUUUUAUAUCUCAGUAACAUAUGUCUCUUACUUUUUCUAUUAUAUCCAUCUUAGUGUAUAACAUAAAGCUCUGUGCGAAAUAUGUGCUUAAGACAAUAAAUGGCUAUAAAGCAAGAGUCAACUAAAAAAGAAUCAAAUAACAAUUUGUAUAUUUCAAAAGAAGUAAUGUCUCCUUCAAUGUUCCUACUUUCAAGAAUAAACACUCGCUAUUUUCAAGGUAUUUAUGAAACUCUCUCGUUUUUUUUUUGAGGAAGAUUAGCCCUGAGCUAACUACUGCCAAUCCUCCUCUUUUUGCUGAAG